rnacentral:misc_RNA from 1 species
AAAGUCGUAACAAGGUCUCCGUUGGUGAACCAGCGGAGGGAUCAUUACCGAGUUUUCAACUCCCAACCCUUUGUGAACUUACCAUAUCGUUGCUUCGGCGGGACCGCCCCGGCGCCCUCGCGGCCCGGACCCAGGCGCCCGCCGGAGACCCCAAACUCUGUCUUUAGUGGUUUUCUCCUCUGAGUGACAUAAACAAAAUAAAUCAAAACUUUCAACAACGGAUCUCUUGGUUCUG